rnacentral:rRNA from 1 species
GACAGAGGGUGCAAACGUUGUUCGGAAUUACUGGGCGUAAAGCGCGUGUAGGCUGCUCGGAAAGUCGGGUGUGAAAGCCCUGGGCUCAACCUAGGAAGUGCACUCGAAACUUCCGAGCUGGAGUGCUGGAGAGGAAGGCGGAAUUCUCGGUGUAGAGGUGAAAAUUCGUAGAUAUCGAGAGGAACACCGGUGGCGAAGGCGGCCUUCUGGACAGCCACUGACGCUGAGACGCGAAAGCGUGGGGAGCAAACAGG